AUCAAGUUGGACAUGGGAAACUAAAGGGCAAGUCUAAAGCAGUACUUUUCCUAAUCUUAGGAGGUGCUGUAAUCCCUCGCCUGGAAUCCUUGGCUCUGUGAAGGUGCUCUCAGUUUGGAAAUAUAUGAAUGUAUGCUGCAGGGGAGCAAAGACUUUCCCUCUAUCCUCCUGGAUUGGAUAGCUGUGUCUUUGAAAUAAACUGACAACAGGCAGAUUAAUAGGAGAUAAGAUAUACAAAUUCAUUAAAUUUUAAUAUUUCAUGCAUGGGAGCAUCACAGGGGAAAAAAAAUGAAUUAACCCUCACCCUGCCAAUCGGUGAUAUUUGAGAACUUAUAUACCAUCUUAAUAGGGGAAGGGGAUUGGGGAUGUAGGCAAUUUAGGAACUGAUUUUUAGGAAAGUUGAAUGGGCUCUUAGAAGAAUGGGAGAUGGGAGGUAUGAUGGUUUGUGACAAAGUGUGUCUGGCUGUGGUGUCCACUAGUCUCCUCUCCUGUGAUAGGUGUCAGCGUUCCCUGGUUGAUGAAACUCAUGUCAAGAGGAUUUAUGACUGAGUUCCUUUUAGAGCAUCUGUCUUUAGUCAGAUAAGAGGAGUUCAGAGAAAGCCUCCUCUGCAUUUGCUGCUUUUCAAGUGCUUUCGGCUCAAAAUAAUCAAUGUACCAAAGUGGUAUAUUUUGGGGUGGCAUGUCCUGAACUCUUUCAAUACUAAGCCACUGCAUAUACUCAUAUCUAUACUUAUUUCUGUCUUUAUUUAUCUGUAUCUAUAUUAGGCUAAACAUGAGUUCAUACUGAUGUUCCUUGUUCCGUAAAGAAAAAAGUUGGCAACAGAUGGUGUCUUGCAGCAAGUUUCCUUUCAGUCUUGCUAUGAUUAUAUGUGCCAAAUCUAUGAAAAAAAAUUAUUGUCCAUUCUCUAGGCCUCCUCUGAAGAUUAGAUUGUAUUGAAAAACAUGGUUCUAUUAGGCACAAAGCCCUGCAUAGAACUGGAAGCUCGGUCAACAUUAGAGGAAAUAGAAGAGUCGGGCAGGUGGAGCAACAACCUUGCUCUUUGACUAGAUGGUGAUGAAGAGAUGAAGUACGUAGUUUAGAAAUACUUUGAGGAUUCACUAGGAUCAUUUUUUCCUGAUGUGACCACUUCCGCUAGGCAUUGAUGGAGAGAAGUGACUCACCUAGUAAAGAGGUAGUUUUCACAGCAGUUUGUCUUACUUGCUUUGGCAGAGAUGAAGCAGCAGCACCUAGCACUAGUAAAUGAUAUCAGUAAAGCACCUGCAAUUUAAAACAGGCAUGGAAGUUCAGGACUUUUUGUGUCUAAACCUUUCUGCAUUACAAAAAUAAUGUCUUCUUUGUUAGCCUAGGUCUUUUGCAAGUCAGGCUGGUGGAAAAAAGCCUGUGUCAUCGACUUGAGUGUUAGUGAUAUGGCAGGGGAAGGAAAAGCACAGUAUCUUUCCAUUACAGAGGAAGGAGAUUGUGAUGAUUAGGUAGCUAGGCAUGGAGCUCUCAAGAAAUGUUUCUUACAAGUUGAAAAAGGAAGAAAUGCCUGAGGAGAGCUCUAUUUUGCCAACAUUAGCUGUAUCUGAGCAUCUUAUAAAAAUAUCUGAAAGCAUAAACUGACAGUUAAGGAAAAUGUGGGAGAACCAGUUUUGAAAUGCCCUAGGAGAUGGCACUAAAGAUAUGCCAUAGUUUAUUAUAAAACAUUCAUAUCCAUAAACAUCUGAUUUGAGGAACUUUCACUUUUCAGGUAGGGAGAAUACUUAAAAGAAAAGGAAGUAUGAAAGAGAAACCCAGGGUGGAACAAUGUAAUUGAAGAUUUACUACAAUAGAAAUUAAGAUCCUAAUAUGCUUUUAGCAUGUUUUUACAGACUAAAAAGAUAAGGCUUCAUGAACAAAUUAAUAAAACUCUUUUAAACACUAUAUAUUAAUAAUCUUUACUGGCUUAUACUACCUACCUGUGUACAGAAUGUAUCCAUGUAUGUACUGGAUUUUUUAUGUGAGAGUACUAGUGUUCAAUUAUAUAUAUCUUGGUGAUAACAUUUCUAGUGCACAUUGAAAACGUAAUAUAACAUAUAAACCAACAGAUUAGUCUGAAAUUUCACUUUGGAAUCAAAGCAAGAUACCAUUUGCGAUUCUAUAAACAUAACAUAGUACUCUUGGCCUAUGCAAUGGAGUAAAACUUAGAAAAGUAUUUUCAGAAUUGAUUUCAUUUUGUAAACUGUGCAAAUCCACAGCAGAAUUGUGUAUGCAUUGGUGAGUGUGAUUCUGCACCUAAGUUUACUAAGGCAAAGGAGCAAUAGAAAGUGCAUGGUAUUGUGGUAAGCAGGUGGUUAGAGAAAACAACAUCUCGUUAAGGAAGGUGUGGUUGCACAGAGCAUAUUUCAUUUCUAUUCAAGUCUUUAGGCUCUUGAGUCCUUAUUUCUUUUUUUUGAUUCCUUAUUUUUAUGACCAUUUUGAUUCAUGAAGCACUAAUAGUUGAAAUUAAUAAGACAUAUCACAGAAGAUUUCAAUCAUGAAGAAUUGUGAACCAUAGCAUUGUAAUAGAAUUCCCUUGUAUUUAUCUAUCUUUUGGCAACAAUAAAAUACUCAUCUUUUAUGGCUCUGAAUGUAUCCAUGGAUAACGAAG